UUCCCGGGGGAACGCUUUGAGUGUAACUCUGUUCCCAGGCCUGUGUGUGUGUUUGUUGCUGUGACAACCCCAAAUGAUGGAUUGGCAACAGGUGUGGGGGAUUUACUCAGAGUUUGCGUGAGGCCUCAUCAACAGUGGAGAGGAUAAAAAGCAAGAGAGAGAGGUGGUGCGUGUGGUUUUUCUCCCUUGUGAAAAGUCGUUUUAUUGGGUGGUAAUAGUUACUGGAGGACGGGUGAAUGAAGAGGACAGUGUUGCUUGAUGAGGGAUUCGAGAACAACAGCAGGAGAGCGAAUUACCCUGUUUGCAUUGGAGAGGAGCUGAGUAACUGAGAACUGAGUCUUGUAAUUGCACACGUUUGACACUGAAUUGGAUGUGGUUUGGAGUGUUUGGAUCACGAUCAUAAAUAUCACUGAGUGGAUUGUAUUGAUUCAUUACCGAUCUCUUACCUCUCCCUCCUCUAUAAAUGGUGAUGUGAACUCUGCCUGUGACUGUGAAGAAAAACAUCUCAGAACAUCCUCAGUGGCAGUGAGGAUUGCGCCCUCCCCCUUCCCUUCGGACAGAAACCCGAAUGAGAAGAGAUGCCCUGUUGAAAUAUUUACUAUCUGCUUCAGAAAAGCUCUGUGCAACCUGUUGACUUCGAGUCUGCUGUAUCCCUGCCAUUCAACUGUAUGGUGAGAGGUGUUCGCUCCUUCCAAUACAUGUGAAUUGUAUACUUGCCUGAAACAUCCAUUCUGUCUGUCUCAGAAGAAGCCCCAUUCAGCCUGUUGACUUCGAGUCUGCUGUAUCCCUGCCAUUCAACUGUAUGAAGAAGCCCAUAUUCAGCCUGUUGACUUCGAGUCUGCUGUAUCCCUGCCAUUCAACUGUAUGGUGAGAAGUGUUCGUUCCUUCCACUGCAUGUGAACUGUAUACUUGCCUGAAACAUCCAUUCUGUCCGUCUCAGAAGAAGCCCCAUUCAGCCUGUUGACUUCGAGUCUGCUGUAUCCCUGCUAUUCGUCUGUAUUGUGAGAAGUGUUCGUUCCUUCCAAUGCAUGUGAACUGUAUACUUGCCUGAAACAUCCAUUCUGUCUGUCUCAGAAGAAGCCCAUAUUCAGCCUGUUGACUUCGAGUCUGCUGUAUCCCUGCCAUUCAACUGUAUGGAGAGAAGUGUUCGUUCCUUCCACUGCCUGUGAACUGUAUACUUGCCUGAAACAUCCAUUCUGUCCGUCUCAGAAGAAGCCCCAUUCAGCCUGUUGGCUUCGAGUCUGCUGUAUCCCUGCUAUUCGCCUGUAUUGUGAGAAGUAUUCGUUCCUUCCAAUGCAUGUGAACUGUAUACUUGCCUGAAACAUCCAUUCUGUCUGUCUCAGAAGAAGCCCCAUUCAGCCUGUUGACUUCGAGUCUGCUGUAUCCCUGCCAUUCAACUGUAUGAAGAAGCCCAUAUUCAGCCUGUUGACUUCGAGUCUGCUGUAUCCCUGCCAUUCAACUGUAUGGUGAGAAGUGUUCGUUCCUUCCACUGCAUGUGAACUGUAUACUUGCCUGAAACAUCCAUUCUGUCCGUCUCAGAAGAAGCCCCAUUCAGCCUGUUGACUUCGAGUCUGCUGUAUCCCUGCUAUUCGUCUGUAUUGUGAGAAGUGUUCGUUCCUUCCAAUGCAUGUGAACUGUAUACUUGCCUGAAACAUCCAUUCUGUCUGUCUCAGAAGAAGCCCAUAUUCAGCCUGUUGACUUCGAGUCUGCUGUAUCCCUGCCAUUCAACUGUAUGGAGAGAAGUGUUCGUUCCUUCCACUGCCUGUGAACUGUAUACUUGCCUGAAACAUCCAUUCUGUCCGUCUCAGAAGAAGCCCCAUUCAGCCUGUUGGCUUCGAGUCUGCUGUAUCCCUGCUAUUCGCCUGUAUUGUGAGAAGUAUUCGUUCCUUCCAAUGCAUGUGAACUGUAUACUUGCCUGAAACAUCCAUUCUGUCUGUCUCAGAAGAAGCCCCAUUCAGCCUGUUGACUUCGAGUCUGCUGUAUCCCUGCCAUUCAACUGUAUGGUGAGAAGUGUUCGCUCCUUCCAAUGCAUGUGAACUGUAUACUUGCCUGAAACAUCCAUUCUGUCUGUCUCAGAAGAAGCCCCAUUCAGCCUGUUGACUUCGAGCCUGCUGUAUCCCUGCUACUCAUCUGUAUGAGGAAGCCCCAUUCAGCCUGUUGACUUCGAGUCUGCUGUAUCCCUGCUAUUCAUCCGUAUUGUGAGAAGUGUUCGUUCCUUCCAACGCAUGUGAACUGUAUACUUUGUCUGAAGCAUCCAUUCUGUCUGUUUCAGUAGAAACCCUGCACAGCCUGUUGACUUAGAGCUUGUUGCAUCCUUGUGGCCCACCUGUGCUGAGAGAGGUGACUGUCCUUUGUCACGAACGUGAGAGGGGCACGCUUUGUCUGGAAUAUCCACUCUGACGGUGUCAGGAGAAGCCACCUUACUGUAAGACCGUGCACCUGCCGUAUACGUACUUGACUGAUAUCAUUCGCCUCAAAUUCCGUACCUGUGGAAGAAGGAAGGAAGGCUGGAAUUACAUACUUACCGGAGGAGACUUACCGGACCCCUCACUUGCCAAACACAUCCCCACCUCAAGGCUGUGUAUCUGCCGUGUACGGACCUGACCGAUAUCCAUCCGUCCCAAAUUCUGCAUCUGUGAAGAAGGGAAGGGAGUUUGGAAGUAUUUAAUUACCAGAGGAGACUUACCAGACUGCGGGCUUGCCGAUUGUAUUCCCACCUGUGAAAUACCUACUUGACCACCCAUCUGUCCAUCUAUUGCGGGGCCCGCACAGAGGAAGAGGGCGGGAGAGUCCCCGGUCGCUGCAUUGUUUACCUUCAAGCCCUGAGGGUAACAAAGAAGAUUUUAGUUUAGGAUUCCCAAUUUGUUUUUACUUCAAAAUAAAACUUGUUAAAUUUA